AUUGAACGCUGGCUGCAGGCCUAACACAUGCUAGUCGAGCGGAGCGGCGGACGGGUGAGUAAUGCCUGGGAAUCUGCCUGGUAGUGGUGGAUAACGUCCGGAAACGGGCGCUAAUACCGCAUACUAUCAGAUGAGCCUAGGUCGGAUUAGCUAGGUGGUGGGUUAAAGGCCUACCAAGGCGACGAUCCGUAACUGGUCUGAGAGGAGGAUCAGUAACACUGGAACUGGGACACGGUGCAGACUCCUACGGGAGGCAGCAGUGGGGAAUAUUGGACAAUGGGCGAAAGCCUGAUCCAGCCUAGCCGCGUGUGUGAAGAAGGUCUUCGGAGUGUAAAGCACUUUAAGUUGAGAGGCGUUACCAACAGAAUAAGCACCGGCUAACUUCGUGCCAGCAGCCGAGGGAAUAC
rnacentral:rRNA from 1 species